rnacentral:rRNA from 1 species
GAUGAACGCUGGCGGCGUGCCUAAUACAUGCAAGUCGAGCGAACAGACGAGGAGCUUGCUCCUCUGACGUUAGCGGCGGACGGGUGAGUAACACGUGGAUAACCUACCUAUAAGACUGGGAUAACUUCGGGAAACCGGAGCUAAUACCGGAUAAUAUAUUGAACCGCAUGGUUCAAUAGUGAAAGACGGUUUUGCUGUCACUUAUAGAUGGAUCCCCGCCGCAUUAGCUAGUUGGUAAGGUAACGGCUUACCAAGGCAACGAUGCGUAGCCGACCUGAGAGGGGGAUCGGCCACACUGGAACUGAGACACGGUCCAGACUCCUACGGGAGGCAGCAGUAGGGAAUCUUCCGCAAUGGGCGAAAGCUUGACGGAGCAACGCCGCGUGAGUGAUGAAGGUCUUCGGAUCGUAAAACUCUGUUAUUAGGGAAGAACAAAUGUGUAAGUAACUAUGCACGUCUUGACGGUACCUAAUCAGAAAGCCACGGCUAACUACGUG